rnacentral:rRNA from 1 species
UACGUCGGGUGCGAGCGUGAAUCGGCCUUACUGGGCGUAACGCGUGCGCAGGCGGAUUGUUAAGCAAGAUGUGCAAUCCCCGGGCUUAACCUGGGAAUGGCAUUUGAACUGGCAGUCUAGAGUGUGUCAGAGGGGGGUGGAAUUCCACGUGUAGCAGUGAAAUGCGUAGAUAUGUGGAGGAACACCAAUGGCGAAGGCAGCCCCCUGGGAUAACACUGACGCGCAUGUACGAAAGCGUGGGUAGCACACAGGAGGAGAUACCCCGGUAGUCC